UCCGAUGUUACGCCUUUAAUCCCCGAAGGGGUAGGCAGAGGAGUAUAAUAUGGAACGUAAUGCCACUGUUUACACCCACUCUCCACAAUUUAUGUUGUAAGUCCCAUGAAAUAGGUGGUGAGCAUAUAGCCAUAUACCGGGCACAUUUCCAGACUCCGUGCUGCUACUGAGAAAUUUUCGAAAAAUCUAAAAUAACCCAGUAAUACUUCGCCCGACCCGGGAAUCGAACCCGAGACCCCUUGCCCGGCAGUCGCACUUGCAACCACUCGGCCAACGAGACAGUCGAUACAAUUAAUAUUCCCAAGAAUGCGACACUUUAAGUACAUAAUUGUAUGUUUAUUUAUUCGGCCUUAUAAUUUACAUUGUGCUAUGUGAAGUAUGAUUCAGUACUACAGUUACUGCGCGGUAGUGUAGACGUGUCCCGCACAAGAUGAAAUCGUGCACAAUGUUGUUCCUGCUCAUUGUCGUACUCUGUGCCUUCUUAUCCUGUGUCGAUGCGGGUCCAGCGAUGGCUUCGUGUUCGAAAAUUUUACUGGCCUACUGGAGAAAGGAAUUGAUAAAGCAAGGCACUAUCAAUGGAUCAAUCAGUGACGAAAAACUUGACCAAUUACUUCAACAGUUAGGAAAAUGUUGAUUAAAAACUCGUGUUGCCCUGCACGAGUCUUGCAAGUCUCGCAUUUACCAAUUAGCCAACUUAAUUUUUUUAUACGAUUAUGAUUAAACUUCGGUAACCACUA